UUAGCUCAUCUGAGCACAAAGUUCUCAUAGGUGAGCUGUUGUGAUCAGCCUUCAUCCAUCAUUGGCACUCGUCCUGUUAUAUGUAAACAGUUUUACCAAUAACACAGUACAGGCUUCAUUUCAUGAGAAAUUUUCAUCAAACUUACACAAAAUGUGAAAAGCCAUUUGAUCUUAGUCAUAUUUGAUAGUCAUCAAGAUUUCUCCAGCAGUAUCAAUAGUUACAUAGUCAAAAUUGCCUUAUUUCAUUUGAGGGGGCCUCCGUGUCCGAGUGGUUAAGGUCGCUGACUUCAAAUCACUUGCCCCUCAUCGAUGUGGGUUCGAGCCUCACUCGGGGCGUUGAAUUCUUCAUGUGAGGAAGCCAUCCAGCUGGCUUACGGAAGGUCGAUGGUUCUACCCAGGUGCCCGCUCGUGAUGAAAUAAUGCACGGAGGGGCACCUGGGGUCUUCCUCCACCAUUAAAGCUGGAAAGUCUCCAUAUGACCUAUCAUGUGUCAGUGCGACGCGUUAAAUCCAACAAAAAAAAAAAUUAUUUCAUUUUGUUAACAGUCCACCCGCUUAGCUCAGUAAGGAGAGCACAGAUCUACAGACUGUGAGGUCAUGUGAUCGAUCCAUGGUCGAGACGUGUGUUCUCUCAGUGAUGAUUUGAUAAAAAACAUUGUGUUUGAAAUCAUUUGUACUCCAUCUCUGAUUCAUGUGGGGAAGUUUGCGAUUACUUGUGGAGAGUAGGUUUGUACUGGUACAGAAUCCAGGAACACUGAUUAGGUUAACUGCCCACCAUUACAUAACUGAAGUACUGUUGAAAACAAGGUCUUUAGAACAAAAACAGCAACAUUGUGCAGACAAUGUCAGUAAAUUUUCAGUGAACAACCCUUCAAAAAAAAAAAUGGUACUGCUCAAAUAGAAUGAUGGACCAGUCCAUUUUAGAAAUUUAGCAGGGUGAAGGUUAAACCAUUUAGAAUUUAUUAUGGCUGCAAUAUCAUAGACAAGAUCAGUAAUUGACAAGAUUUCAUGACUUACACCAUAGUUAUCUCCCUCGAUUAAAAAUUACUUGCUACUUUUUCACAUUUAGAUUACAGAAAUUUACAUCUCAUUGACUUAACUUGUGUAUCUAUUCAGGUGAGCACUACAGGUUGAACAUGGCCUGCUUGUUUAGUUUUGUUUCUAAUUAGGUUAGUGCUGUUAAUUUUGAUUGAUUUGCCUGUGGAGGAAAAUAUUUUUACCAUGAUUUUCUGUCAUUAUUGAUCUAAUUCUUACACAGUUUAUGUUUUUUAGCUCACCUGAGCACGAAGUGCUCAAAGGUGAGCUUUUGUGAUCACCCUGUGUCCGUCGUCCGUCCGUGGUCAGUCGUCGUCCGUCGUCGUCAACAGAUUGACUGUUAACACUAGAGGUCACAAUUUUGGCCCAGUCUUAAUAAAACUUGGUCAGAAUGUUCCCUCAAUAAAAUCUUGGAUAAGUUCGAUAUUGGCUCAUCUGGGAUCUAAAACUAGGUCACCAGGCCAAAUCAAAGGAAAAGCUUGUUAACACUCUAGAGGUCACAAUUUUGGCCCAGUCUUGAUGAAACUUGGUCAGAAUGUUACCCUCAAUAAAAUCUUGGACGAGUUUAAUAUUGGGUCAUCUGGGAUCAAAAACUAGGUCAGCAGGUCAAAUCAAAGGAAAAGCUUGUUAACACUCUAGAGGUCCAGUUUGAAUCUGGGUCAUUAAGGUCAAAAACUAGGUCACCAGGUCGAAUCAAAGGAAAAGCUGGUAAACACUGUAGAGGCCACAUUUUUGAUCGUAUCUUAAUGAAACAUGGUCAGAAUGUUAAUCUUGAUGAUCUAUAGGUCACUUUAAAAUCUGGGUCAGGUGAGAUCUAAAACUAGGUCAAAUCAAAGGAAAAGCUUGUUAACACUCUAGAGGCCACAUUUAUGACUGUAUCUUCAUGAAACUUAGUCAGAAUGUUGAUCUUGAUGAUCUUUAGGUCAGGUUUGAAUCUGGGUCAUGUGGGGUCAAAAACUAGGUCACCAGGUCGAAUCAAAGGAAAAACUUGUUAACACUUUAGAGGCCACAUUUCUGACCAUAUCUUAAUGAAACUUGGUCAGAAUGUUAAUCUUGAUGAUCUUUAGGUCAAUAGGACAGGUGAGCGAUACAGGGCCUUCAUGGCCCUCUUGUUUUAAAUUAUUUUUAUGAAAAUGUUGCAGCUAUUUGUACAGACUCGGACAGAUUUCGAUAAUGGUUUAUUAGCCACCAUAAAAUCAUUGAAUCUCUCGGGUAUGAAUUUACAAUCAUGUUCUAUUGCAAAGUGAUUGUUUCAUGGAUGAUAUAAAUUUUGGAGAUAAAUGAAUGACAGUUCUAUGUGUACGUUGUGGUAUAACUUUGUGAACUUCCAACACUGCGAAAUGCACAAAAAACUUUUUCCCCAUGAAUGUUGACGAUUUCCUAGUACUGUGAAAUCAUAUAUAUAUAUUCGUGGAGGACUUAUUUUCGUGGAUUUCGUGGUUGCGUCAAUCCACGAAAUUUGAUCCCAACGAACAAGUAUAUUUCCCAUUCAUUUUAUGUUCAGAAGUUGGAAUCCACGAUUUCAUAUCCCCACGAAAUUGCCGUUUUUACCAAAACCGCAAAAUUUCAUGCCCACGAAAUUAAAUGAUUUUACAGUAUAUAAGCUUUUAAGAUAUUUUUGUAGUUGUGAAAAGAUUUUAAACAGCACAUUCAGUCAGACUUUUAUGUAAGACCGCCACGUCUUUUAAUAAUCAGGACACGUAUUGAUUAAAUGUAAUUGUACACAUAUACAUAUAUAUAUACAUUUAUAUGACAUCACUGCUUUCUUAACCUGCUUUUCGAAAGGGCUACGUAUUUUUCCCCUUUUAUUUCUCCACACUGGUAUUUUAAAGACAAGUUUGUCUGUAUUGUGCAGUUGUCAGUUUUGUUUAUGAAAUUGGUAUGAUUUAAACAGUUAAAAUCAUUUUAUUCAGUUCAGAAGUUUACUUGCCUUUCAGGCAGAAAGUUCUUAGUGUUGUGUUUUUUGCUGAACAAAUUUUUUUUUUUUCCAUUAUUUACAAUAUAUAGUCAUUUCUCCUAAUAAUCUUUGACACAGACCAUUCACACUGUUCAGCAUUCUGUUCAUGAUUGGUUAUUAUGACAUGGUGACAAGUUUUUUAUGACAUAAUCAAAAUCCUGGUUAUUAUGACAUAGUGACAUGUUUUACGACAUAGCUAAAACUUCUGGUUAUUAUGGCAUGGUGACAAGUUUUUUUUAUGUCAUUGUUAAAAUCUGUGUUAUUAACAUUGGUAAAAUCUGUGUAAUUAUGACAUGUUGACAUUCUUAAAUAACUGAAACUCCUGGUAACUGAUACUUGUCAUAGCUAAAAUUCUUGUUAUUAUGACAUGGUGACAAGUUUUGUUGUGACAUAGCUUAAGUCCAUGGUUAUUAUGACAUGGUGACAAGUUAUUUAUGACAGAGCUAAAAAUCCUGGUUAUUUUGUCAUGGUGACAUGUUUAAUAAUUAUCCUGGUUAUUAUGACAUAGCUAAAAAUCCUGAUUAUUAUGACAUGAUGACAUGUUUAAUAUCCUGGUUAUUAUGACAUGGUGACAAUAUUUUAUGAUGUAGCUAAAAUCCUGGUUAUUAUGACAUGAUGACAUGUUUAAUAUCCUGGUUAUUAUGACAUGGUGACAAUAUUUUAUGAUGUAGCUAAAAUCCUGGUUAUUUUUUUUUUUAUGACAUAGUUAAAAUCCUUCCUUUCUCAAAAAAUCCAGAUAUAUCCAGUGACACAUUGUUCUAACAGUAUUAUUUAUGAAAGGGUAAUUAGAUUUUGAUUGGAUAAUUGCUUAGAAGAUACUUUUGUAAAUACCCAAGCAUAGUUGUGUUUAUUUCUUUGAAUAAAAUGUGUUGUGCAUUUUCAUUGGCAGAAGAAGUUUUUAGGAGUUUUGUUGAGAUUUGGGGACAUGGGAUUGGGGUGGAGGAAUAGCUGCCACUGAUCAUUAAAAAAACUUUUUUCUGCCUCAGGAGUUUCGUUCUGUUUGAAAUAACUAGUAGAAAGUAACUGUAGAAUAAGAUUUAUCUUCUCAAAAAUUAUGAAUAAAGACUAAAAUGUGUUAUAACAAUAAUAUUGUUGUAAGUUUACAGACCUGACAAGUUUGUCAUUUUAAAAGGAUUAGAAACUUUCUAAAUCUGCUGAAAAAAACAACAAACAGCAAGAAUUUGGAAAAAAAAAGUUACUUAGCAUGUUUCUUUCUUGUUUUGAUUACCAGUACUUUUAGAAGUAUCCACAAAAAGGUAUAUGUUACUUUCCUAGAGGCAUAAAUGCAUUGGUUGUGAUUCAAGUACUCGAAGUCUCUGGCUUCUAUACACUUAAAGCACACCCAAGUAGUUAAUACAAUGUACCUAGUUUAAAACUAUAAAAUGUGAUUUAUUAUUUAAGUGGUUCCAUAAAGCUUAAAACAAAUAUUUAGUUCCAUGAGGGAUGUGAAUUAUUUAUAAAAAUCUGAAGUGAAUUUUACUCUUUAUGCCUCCCUAAAAAAUUUGGGUUGGUUGGGUGAAAGGGAUGGGCAACAUAUUGCAUUUGGUCUCGUCUGUCUGUCACAAAUCAUAUCAGCUCCUGAAACCCCUGGAAGGAAUUUCAGAUUACUUGCCACAAAUGUUAACUAUAAUAUGACAACAUGCAAAACACUAUUUUUAGUAAUAAAGAUAAAGGUAAAGGUCAUAUUGUGAGAUAAAAUAUCAAAAAGGGAUUAUUUUGUGUCUACUCUGUAUUAUUUUAACACCUGAUAAUUUUUCAAAUCACUUACUACAGAUUUUAUACAUAAUGGAACAUGCAGCCUUUUUAUCAUGUCAGUUCCAGGUCAAGGUCAAAUAUUGAGGUCAAAGUUCAUAUUGGGAUUAAUUUAUGUUUGCUCUGAAUGUUUUUUACUCAUCCGGAAGGAUUUUUCAGACAGCUUACAACAGCUGUAAAGGUUAAGGUCACAUGAUGAGAUUAAAGGUCAAAUCAGGAGUAUACUUGUAUAUAGUCUGCUCUUUAUAUCCUGUGAAAUUCUUAGUUAGAAUUUUGAUUCAUUCGUCUUCCAGCACAUCCCUUUGUGGUAUAGCCAGUUAUAAUGUAUCAAUUCGUCCUCCGUCUAAAUGAACCUUUUUUUUUUGCGGGGCAGAUGUGUGCUUUAUUCAAAAGCAACCUUUUGUUCCACCAUGGUUUUUUUUUUUGUCCAUUAAAAAUUCAUCCAUUUUAAUGCUUGAUAUGUAUAUUUCAUUGUGCUCUGUAAAGAGGUAUAUAUUUUUAUUGAAAAUGUGCAUACAAUUUACUACCUAUGAAAUAUUUUACAGUAUAUCCUAAAUGGACCCAUGACUGCAUUUAUGGUUAAUUGUGUUAUAAUACAUGUAUUUCCUUUUUUUUUUACAUUCUUUGUUUUUGAUUGUUGAUGAAUUCAUUUUUAAGAAGGUAUGGGUGCUCACUUUUUAUGAAUAGUCACUUUAAUGAAAUAGUUUUAUUAAUGUUAUUUCUAUAUUAGUUAUGUUGAAAUAUUGUGGAUGUGCUUUUUUUAAACUGCUUUUUUUGUUCUUUACUAUUUGUAGCAGUGUAUUCUCCCCCAGCAGACAACAUUUACAGCCUAAUGCCCCCAUGCAGUAAAAUUAGCUGAAAAUUCUAAAAAUUAGAAUGGAAGAGUCCAUUAUGAGAUGUCAGGGUAGUGGGCAAUGUUCAGGCUUAAUUUUGUCCCUUAUUAAAAAUGCUGGUAGAAAAAUAAUGUUUUUUUUUCUUGAGCAAAAUCAAAAUUAAUUUUGCAGCAAAUAAGGGAAAAAAUAUUUCUUGCACACCAAUGUGUAAUAUUCAAAAGGAACAAAUAUUUCUUUCACUCUAAUGCACAGAUGAAAUAUUCCAUAAAGUAAGUGGGGACACAUAAAAGGGUAAAUCAUAGGGGUGAAAUAUAAAAUGAGCCGUGCCAUGACAAAACCAACAUAGUGGGUUUGCGACCAGCAUGGAUCCAGACCAGCCUGCGCAUCCGCGCAGUCUGGUCAGGAUCCAUGCUGUUCGCUUUCAAAGCCUAAUGGAAUUAGAGAAACUAAUAGCGAACAGCAUGGAUCCUGACCAGACUGCGCGGAUGCGCAGGCUGGUCUGGAUCCAUGCUGGUCGCAAACCCACUAUGUUGGUUUUCUCAUGGCACGGCUCAAAUGUUCUUUGCUGGGGUUUGUGUGUUUUAUGUUAACUGGUGAAUGAUGAAAAUGUCAAAAUAAGUUACCAAAGAUUUUUUGCUGUUUUUAACCAUAUACCAUUGUUUAUUAUGAAGCAUUGUUUUCUUAUAGUUAAAGACGAGUAAUAAAUAUUAGAUAGAUUUUUAAUAAGUGAGAUUUAUGACCAUAGAAGAUAAAUUAGUUACAGUUUGAUGUGUGAAAAAAAAAGUGCCAUAGUUGUAUCAGCUUUGGCAAUGACUUCUUAUGCCAUUAUCUUGAUUAUAAGAAUAUGAGAAUAAUUUUAACCUACCUACCCUACAGUCAAAAAUGGAUGGUCCUAUGAGCUUAAUGAAAACCAUACUGAAACGUUUGAAGAACAGUCAGUAAAUUCUAGCAUUUGAUUGGUCGUCUCAGAACACAGUCUUGAAAUUGACCAAUGGCAGUGCUACAUUCUUUGACUGGUCUUCAAACUUAAGUUUUAUAACCUUGAAACUGGAGCUUUUCUCUUUCAAAGAAAUCUGAGAUUCAAAACCAUUCUAGAUGAUGACAUUUUUGUGUAUGAAUAUUUUUAGAGCUAUUUGAUGAUCUGGUUGUGAAAUGGAAAAAAAAAAAUCUGUCUCGAAUUUUUACCUUUUACCAAGAAAGAAAAAUGCUGAGUACAGUUCAUGUAUGGUUGAAAUACUGCCAAGAUAUAUCAUUGAGUGAGUUACUUUCUGUCUGCCUGUAUAUACAGUCAGGAACUACUUUUUGUCAUUAUUCCCAGCAUACGUAAACAUGAAAAUCUUGAUCAUUUCUUAAUCUGUUAAAGGAUCUGUAAUACACCUUUUCAGUAAUGAGGAAAUAAUUCUAGUCAUAAUAUUUGAAUGGUGUUCAUAAAUUCAAGUGUUGAAAAUUGGAUCAUGCAGCACCUAAACUCUUUUUCAUAUCACUCAUAAAUGAAUCAGCUUCAUUUUCUGCACUAAACAACCUUUUACCUAGAAAACCAGUCAGACUGUCUUUGGCAAAAGUAAGUGGUCUGCUAGAAGACUUAUAAAAACUUGGUGAACCAGUCUGCACUUGUCUUCCAUCUUCUUGUCUGUCUGCUAAAAAUUUUCUGAUGGUCUCCAUAGCAACUACUUUAUUUAGGUAUGGUCAUUUCUCAGUUCCAGAAACUUAGGUUAAAAUCUUGGUCACAAGGUCGGAGGUCACAAGGUCAUAUAGGAUUGUUUUGUAGUUUAUUAACAUAUUUGUAAUAAGUCAGAAAACCAUUGACAAAAACAGCAGUUAUUAAGUUAUCUGUUUUGUCUGAUGAAGAAAUUUAAAACCUUACUGGAAAAACCGGCAUUGGUGUUAUACUAUUUAUAUAUAUUUUUGUUUUUUUUAUAACAUCUGCAGAAUUCUGAUGGAUUAGUUGGUACCCGAGCACAUAAGGGUACCGGCAUCAACCUAUGCCUAGGAAUACUGAAGAUGCUGUAACAAAAUCAAAAGCGUGUAUUUACACUAUUCAUCAUAAAAAUGUGUAUAACCCUAAACAAAAAUAAUAUAAUCCCCAUCAUUAAAUGAUUAUGAAAUGUGCACGAGCAUUAGCAUUGCCUGAUGAUGUAGUAGAAGUCUUUUCUUUCAAACUGUAUUGUAGUAUGCAUUACAGGGCAGAAAUGUGCUAAUGUUUUGGCCAUGGAAUAAGCAUUAUGUAAAAAGGUGUGUUAAUAUUGAAUCUCACUUAACAUGUUUACUCACCUGUUAAAACACCCCCCUUGAAAAACGAGAAAAACAGCAGUUUUAUGCUAGGAAGAUGAAACAAAGGACAGAAAAUUGGUAGAAUUCAUGUUUAAUUCAUCAUUGUUUCUAGCCAUUUGAUCAAUUACAUGUAUAAAACAAUAUCAUACACUUCAAAAUAUAUAGGCCACAUAAUUGAAUUCUUGCUUAAAUUGAUGAUUAUUUACGAUAAAUGGUACAUUUUAGCCAUUUCUUGGCAUUUUUCCCCUAACCCAGUAUAAAUUAUUUAUGGUAAAUGGUAUAGAAGGUUUCGCCAUUUCUUGGCAUUUUUCCCCUUCCAGAAUAAAUUACUUACAGUAAAUGGUAUAGAACUUUUAGCCAUUUCUUGGCAUUUUUUCCUUUUCCAAUAUGGAAAUUUCUCUUUUGGCAAUUUUUAAAUACCUUUUACAUUCUUUAUAACAUUUUCAUAAUUAUGCUGUAUUUGCAACCCAGCUAAUUGCCAAUUAUUUGCAAAAUUAUUGUUUACCAUUUCCAAUCUGUAAAUAAUAUGCAAAAAGUAAGGACAUUAUGAAGUAACUAAUGCUUGGCCUUACCUGUUUUUGACUGUACUAUGACACUUCCUGCAUAUUCAAAACCAUUCUCCACAUCUGGUCUGAAUAAUCAAAAAUGGAUCACAGAUAAAAAAUGGCCAGUAUAUAGUUAGUAAAUCUCAUUGUAUUUGUACAUUCUGUCAUUUUAGUAGGGCCGGAUCCCUAAAAUCCAUUAUUUAGUGUUGUCUUCUUAUGGUCUUGUCAUCAGUUGUGAACAAUUUGAUAUAGUAUAGUAAAUUCUACAGAUGUUGUAUAAA